GCGGGCGUGGCGAAACUGGUAGACGCAACGGACUUAAAAUCCGUCGGGCCUGGCCCGUGCCGGUUCGACCCCGGCCGCCCGCACCA
rnacentral:tRNA from 2 species